UGCUGGAUUUUUUUUCGGUUUUAGAUGAAUUUAAAUAAUUUAUUUAAGCCCCAAAACACUUCUGCAAUACAAAACCUGAUGUAAAUUCUCCAUUUAAUUAAAUUCUCAACCUUGACAAUCUGCUAUAUAUAUAUAUAUAUAUUUCGAUCUGUGUGUGAUUUGUAUUGUUUUUAGUUGUCUUCUGAAUUUAAAUAAUGCAUCUAAGCCCCAGGUCGAGGGUGUGGGUGCCUUCAAGGCAAUGAUAACGGUAUUUCCUACUACUGAUAUGACUGUGCAGUAUGUGCCUCCAUGCAAGAAAGGGGAAAUGACCAGCAGUAACCACACAUUGCAUCAAGACACACCGAGAGGAAAGGUGGUCCAGUACUCAGAUGGAUCCUGUGGGUUGGUGGUCUCUCUGACAGCCUGGCCACUGCGAUACAGAGCCCAGUGUUCCCCCUUCAGGUCGGUCCUCUGGAGCAAGACGGAGGCACAGAAGAGUGUGAGGGACCAAGGCACAAAAAGUCAGUGUGUGACUGGAGGGGACUCUGCAGCGGUGCGAUAUUGUUACUGAAAUCCAAAUGGGUCUGAUGCUGUGAGGGGAAGCUGGGAUCUCUCAGAUGGAAGAUGAGAGGACAUCCGUCAGCCGACCUUCCAGAAUAA